UUCCGUCUUGGGUUCCACCAAGCCUUGGGUUCCACCUACCGUAAACCGACCUGGCCAACUGACCCUCUUAUCUGCCUCGGUCGCUCCCACAGCGAGUCUGGCCGAAAGUGAGAGUGAAUGCGGCCGCUGUCUGUUCCAGGUGCUUUGGAACGGCGAUGACUUUGGUCGAUGCUCGAGACUCGACAUUUUAAUCGCAGUCUGGAUUCAGUGUGUGUGUAUGUGGUCCCAUAUCCUGUCUCAUGGAAUAAAGCAACCGAGUAAAUAAGGCAGAAUUCAGCGAGAAUCCCAAGACCAGCGAUGAUGGCCUUUGUCAAACUUACUACGUCCCUUCAGGUGCUGAUGACACCCACCACUGUCCUUCUGGUUUCUCUCUUCGUAGGGAGCUGUGGAAAACAUAUUGUUUCAGAUACUGGUGGUCUCAUAUCGGAGGAUUUCCAAAAUCCAGUUUCUACACCAUCUCCUCGACACGGCGAUUUCCCAGCGAACUUCAGCCUCUACCUGCUUCCCCUCAGAUACCCCUUACAGAAUAUGACUGAGCUACAAAUCGACUCCCCCUACAUAAAUGUGGAUUGGGAGCGAUUUUCUCGGUCGAGGGUUGUUGAUUUCUCAGACUCAUCUCGCCUUCCCAGGGCCCAAGAGGAGUUCACGUCUACUUUUGUGGCUAACCCAAACGGGCAAACGAUUUUCUCCUUUGCAUCCAGAUGACUCGCGGUUACAAAAGCCUUUAGCAAAGUUGUCUCAGAUGCCAUCACCUGCCGAAAAUAUUCUCCCAUCAACGGCAGCAGAAGUUCGUCCUAUUUUGCAAAUUGAUCCUUCUCCCUUUGGGACUGAUUCUCUUCCACAAGGUGCUGAUACCCUACUGCGGGCAGCUUAUCCGCUGGCUGCACCAUUUGUGCUCACUCGCAUCACCCCUGUUUUCCCAGUCACUGUUCCCGAUUCUACACCUGAUGUUCCCGAAUUAUCAAAGGACUCAUUUUCAAUAACACAUCCUCUAAAUAUUAAAUCUGAGGACUUACAAGCCUUAGCCAGUCACUCCGAGAGUUCUUUCGUCAAUUAUUUAGAAAAAACAUCAGGAAAACAUUCAGCGUCACUGAUAGACUCCAGAUCCCUCAAAAUCCCCCCAAGAACAACGAAUUUCCUUCUAAUACUCCACCUAAACUGAGGUUCACCAUAGCUAAGGAUUUUCCUCCCAUAGUGAAUGACACUCACGUGUCUCACUUCAUCAUUAUCCAGCCGGACGUAAGAAGUAAAGUAGGCAGCAACUCCAUCACUCCUGGAGUUCCACACUCUUACCGAGAUGACCGAACGAUGUUCGACGAAAUGGACUGCAUCUACGUUUGCCAUGAACGCUCGGAUUCCAACUCGGCGUGCAUUGUUGAUGUUGAGUGUUGCAGCAAACUUUUUGGAAAUAGCGAUAAUUACAAAAAGUGUUUAAAAAUGGAAAUUUUAGCUAAUGCAUUAAAUGAUACUAUGAUACUAACAGAAGGUCUCCUAAAAUAUGGUGUUAAUAGUUAUUAAUGGCCCGGCUUUUCAACAUAGCAAUUAAUAGUACAAAAAUAUACACGCUUAAUUCAAAA